rnacentral:snRNA from 1 species
AGCUUUGCACAGUGGCAGUAUUGUAGCCGAUGAGAUUUAUCCGAGCGUGAUUAUUGCUAAUUGAAAACUUUUCCCAUUCCCUGCAUAACGACUUGCAAUACAGUCGCACUGGCAAUUUUUGACAGUCUCUAUGGAGA